rnacentral:rRNA from 1 species
AUUGAACGCUGGCGGCAGGCCUAACACAUGCCAGUCGAGCGGAUGAAGGGAGCUUGCUCCUGGAUUCAGCGGCGGACGGGUGAGUAAUGCCUAGCAAUCUGCCUGGUAGUGGGGGAUAACGUCCGGAAACGGGCGCUAAUACCGCAUACGUCCUGAGGGAGAAAGUGGGGGAUCUUCGGACCUCACGCUAUCAGAUGAGCCUAGGUCGGAUUAGCUAGUUGGUGGGGUAAAGGCCUACCAAGGCGACGAUCCGUAACUGGUCUGAGAGGAUGAUCAGUCACACUGGAACUGAGACACGGUCCAGACUCCUACGGGAGGCAGCAGUGGGGAAUAUUGGACAAUGGGCGAAAGCCUGAUCCAGCCAUGCCGCGUGUGUGAAGAAGGUCUUCGGAUUGUAAAGCACUUUAAGUUGGGAGGAAGGGCAGUAAGUUAAUACCUUGCUGUUUUGACGUUACCAACAGAAUAAGCACCGGCUAACUUCGUG